rnacentral:rRNA from 1 species
UACGGAGGGGGCAAGCGUUGUUCGGAAUUACUGGGCGUAAAGCGCACGUAGGCGGGUCGUUAAGUCAGGGGUGAAAUCCCAGAGCUCAACUCUGGAACUGCCUUUGAUACUGGCGGCCUAGAGUCCGGAAGAGGUUAGUGGAAUUCCCAGUGUAGAGGUGAAAUUCGUAGAUAUUGGGAAGAACACCAGUGGCGAAGGCGGCUAACUGGUCCGGUACUGACGCUGAGGUGCGAAAGCGUGGGGAGCAAACAGG